rnacentral:misc_RNA from 1 species
GUCAUGACUCAUUCUGAUUUUAUAUGAACUCCUUAACGCCAGCCUUCCUGGGAAAUGACUUUUUAUAGACUACUUCCCAGAUGCUUUCACACUUAACCAUCUGCAGGUCAAUUAGUUUCUGAUUCACAAGAUAUUCAAUGAGAAUAUAUUUUACUCUUUUCCCUAUAUCAGAUGUCAUGUUCAUGUACCUUAACAUUGUAAUUUAAAUGAUCUUCUGGGGGAUGGUGUGAUGCCUAUCAUGGUUGCUGCUAGAUAUUGCAGAGCUGAGUAGUCUUCCUUUUUUUUUAUCAAUUGCCUAGUGUUUUCCCCCGAUAUACAAGGUCUAUGCUUCUUCCUUCUACUGUGGCAUACGUAUGAUCAGAGUGCUUCCAGUUGAAUUGGUAGAAUCAGCAGCAUUACAACUUUAAGUCUGUUUUUCACCAAAAAAUCUCAAUGGAUUUUCCAUUUUUAUACUUUUCACUUUCUAUACAGGUGCUUGAAAUUCUCUUCUGUACGUUUAAUUCAUCAAAACAUGAGCUUUGAUUAUUAUCAUUAUUAUCAUUGGCCAUAAAGGAAUUAUGUUUAAUAUAUUUUGUUUAAAAUCUAAAGUGCAGACAUUUUAUAUCGUGAUUAACUGAUCCUUUCUGAUGCUCGCAGAUUCAUUGAGAUACACAUCUGC